AGUGAACUCAUUUCUAAAUGCUUGAAUUGUUGCAAGACACUUUCAACAAGUGGUUUUUGGUAAUUAUUCUGGUUGUUUGGCUUUUAAAAUAGGUCCGUUAAAUCAACUGGAAUAGUCUUUAAAUCAUAUCCAUCUCUUUAGAUUAUGUCAUAUUUUUGCCGUUAACGACAUUGUAGUGUUCAAUGAUGACACUGUACUGAGUAGGUUACUUUACUUCACAGCCAGAGUUACUUAAUUCUCAGAAACAUCUAGUGGAAAUACCCAAACUGCUCCAAAGUGGGUUACCCCCUGCUCUCUGCUAACAGGUGUAGUUAAUUCCUAUUUUAUCACAUCUGUGGCUCCUCCUGCUCCCACACAGGUUCAGGUGUGCUUCUCAAGAAAAGCAUGGCUCCUGCCAUGGGAAGCUUAAUCAUCCCCAGCUGAGCCACCUUCACUUCUAAAACACAGAAGUUAACCCAGAGCUAAAGGAACACACAUAGAGUUCAGACCGGAGUACUGUUCAGCCCACAAGUGAGAAAUGUAUUUUUUAUUUCAUAAUACAAAUCUGGGUUGCUUUUAUUUAGUUCAACUUCAAAACCAAUGUCUGCCCAGCAGUAAUUUAGGAAUUAGAUCUGAAAGGAGACAUGGAUUCAUGGCCACCUUAUCUCUGCUCUUGUGAAACCAAACAAACAUCGUCAGAAGUUCAUUUUGUAGAAAUACAGCGAGUUUCAAUUUUGAAUAAAAAGAGGAAUGUUAACUAUGGUUUAAUUUUCAGUCUGUUAUUGAACAUGACUGUGAGAGAAAACCAGACCACACAAACCAAAGCAACAUAUCAACAUAUAUGGGGUUAAUAUUGCAAAAAGACCAAAACAAGCAGCUGGGAAAAAGCCUUUCUUUGCUUGAAAACCAACCAGGCCACAAUAAACGCAGGCAUCUGCAAGGGGACGCCAUAGGGGGAAAGAAAACAGUUGUGGCCCAGGGGCCCAAAUUCUUCUGAAUCCGGCCCUGGACAGAACCUCUUCCUCUGGAUUUCAUUCAUAACUCCUUGGUCCCGAUGAGGUGCUCCAUUCAAAGUGAAAUGCGAUGCAAAUUUAUAGUCAUUCAUGCACUUCGACUGGGCCACAGAUAGAGAGACGGGCGAGACAAACGGGACUGAGCACGGUCCAUAUGAUCCUAGCAGCAGGCGGCGGAGGAACCAACUGCGACCCGAAAGAUGUGGCACGGAUGGUGGAGGAUUACGUCAUCGUAGGAAAAAAAGGAGGACGCCUCAUCACAGCAGACCUUUACCAUCCAUAAUAAAACAACCUCCCAUCCAGCAGGCCGAUUCAACCAAAAAUAAAGAUUAUUAAUGCAAAGCCACGCUGAAAGCAGGCUCUCUGUAAGUAGAUUAUCCACGCAAGCGGAGUGGUGUGACGCUUCUAGAAUGUAAAGCCUUGCUUCAUCAGUUUGUCACCAACAAGCAACCAAACUCUGUUUCGCAUUUUCUGACAGACGGUAAAAUAAAAAUGUUGCAAUGGUGGCGAAAAAGCCGCACUGAAAGCUAACUGGACUCGUCUUUAAAGGGGCUUAUUGUACACUGCCCAAUGAAUGAGUUGACUGCUUUAUAGGAUAAAAACAAAUAAAUAAAUAGGCAUGUCAACACAAUGGUGCAUGGACGGGUUUUAACGCCUCAAUGCAUGUUUCAAAUGCAUCGCACAUUUCAACAGCUACUGUUUUUAAAAGCAAAAAUAUUGAAUGGGCUAAAAAAAAAGAGAAGCUAGCUAACAAGCAGGGAGCAUAACAGUUACAGCUUGAAAUGCGUUUAAUUUUCUUCACAUUUUUCCUUUUUUUAAAAAGGGGCUAAAAUAGAAAAAGCCUUUUCUGAACUGUUACCCCAAUGUUAUGUAGCAU